ensembl:snRNA U6 U6 spliceosomal RNA
GUGCUCACUUGGGCAGCACAUUUUCUAAAACUAGAAUGAUACAUAGAUGAUUAGCAUGGUCCAUACACAAGGAUGACAUGAUUUUACAAAUUCUCAAGUAUUAU